GUCAGCGACUCCACACCUGAAUGGGUGGGGGCUUGUUCCGGCAAGCCCCGAUGCUGAGCAGUCCCCAGGUGUAAGUACCUGGUAGCCCUUCGCGAAGAAUGCAUAGGCACUCCGGGGUGGCCUUCCAGUCCCGGACCCUGCG
rnacentral:sRNA from 32 species